UGAGGAACAUGACCUUCGGCGGGGGAUAGCCGGCCCAACGGCCGGGUAAUACCGCGUACGACCACAUGGGGACAUCCCUGAGUGGUGAAAGCAGCAAUGCGCCGAUGGAGUGCCUCGCGGCCUAUCAGCUAGUUGGUGAGGUAACGGCUCACCAAGGCGACGACGGGUANCUGGUCUGAGAGGAUGGCCAGCCACAUUGGGACUGAGACACGGCCCAGACCUCUACGGGAGG
rnacentral:rRNA from 1 species